GGCAGCACAAGUAGUUUACUUAUGAGGUGGCGAGCGGCGGACGGGUGAGUAAUGCCUAGGGAUCUGCCCAGUCGAGGGGGAUAACAGUUGGAAACGACUGCUAAUACCGCAUACGCCCUACGGGGGAAAGAAGGGGACUUUCCGGCCUCUUGCCAUUGGAUGAACCUAAGUGGGAUUAGCUAGUUGGUGAGGUAAUGGCUCACCAAGGCGACGAUUCCUAGCUGUUCUGAGAGGAUGAUCAGCCACACUGGGACUGAGACACGGCCCAGACUCCUACGGGAGGCAGCAGUGGGGAAUAUUGCACAAUGGGGGAAACCCUGAUGCAGCCAUGCCGCGUGUGUGAAGAAGGCCUUCGGGUUGUAAAGCACUUUCAGUAGGGAGGAAAGGGUGAGUCUUAAUACGGCUCAUCUGUGACGUUACCUACAGAAGAAGGACCGGCUAACUCCGUGCCAGCAGCCGCGGUAAUACGGAGGGUCCGAGCGUUAAUCGGAAUUACUGGGCGUAAAGCGUGCGCAGGCGGUUUGUUAAGCGAGAUGUGAAAGCCCUGGGCUCAACCUAGGAAUAGCAUUUCGAACUGGCGAACUAGAGUCUUGUAGAGGGGGGUAGAAUUCCAGGUGUAGCGGUGAAAUGCGUAGAGAUCUGGAGGAAUACGGUGGCGAAGGCGGCCCCU
rnacentral:rRNA from 1 species